AUUCAAUUCCCCGUCUUCUCUCUACAUCUCUCUUCACUUCUCUGCCUUUUUUUUUUUAACACCGAUGACCAUUCAAACUCCGACAACCGACGAUGUAAGAGUUGUGCCGACCCAAACAACAAUGAAGGAGUUGUGCCGACAACCCAUUCUCUUCUCUCUCUCUCUUUCCGAUGCUCUGUCAUCGUUCCAUCCGGCGCGAUACACAUAUCCACCUCCAACACGACACACAGUCGUUGCAGAUCCGACUUUUCUCUGGAGGGACACACUUCUCCAUCGCCAACACAUCACAUCGCAGCUGCAAAUCUGGCUCUGUUACUAUCGUCUUUGUUCCAGAUCUCUGUUAUUAUCGUCUCCGUCCCACCUCUCUCUCUUCACUCUCUCCUCUCCGUGCUAUGCAGAUCUGCCUUUUCUCUGGUGAGUGCAUGGUUGGCGACGUUGUACUGGAUCGUACUCUUUUGCUGCCUGUGUGGCUAAUUUGGGUGGUGACGUGGUGUUGGUGAGGUGUUUGUAGGUUGGUGUAUUGUUUGGAUGUGAUGGUUUCCGGCGUGUUGGCGAUGGAGACGUUGGUUAUGUUUUGUUGGUGUGUUUGGUGGUGGCAAUCGUGGUUGUUUCUGACGACGGUGAAUGCGUUCACGUUAGCAGUGGUAAUGUGGGCAGUGUUGGUGAGGUUGUGGGUUGUAUAUUAUUGGUGUGUUAGGUGGUGGCAGUCGUGGUGGUUCCGACGAUGGAGGAGGUUGUUGGUGGCUGUGGUUAUCCUGAUUUUUGUUGGCAUUUGAUUUGAUUUGGUGGUGUUGAUUUGUUGGCAUUGGUGUUGAUGCUGUUGUGGUGUCGAAGACGGUAACGUGGUGAUGGCGGUCACAAAUGGUGGUGAUGACGGUGGCGGUGCAUAGUGUUGCUUGUGGUGGUAUGUGACCGCUAUUUGACGCAUGUGACGAACCAUUUAGUUAUCUAUAACUAACUGUGUAAGUGUGAUUUAAGAAUUUGACAAUCGACGAUAAAUUAAUUUGAUCUUGAACUAAUCUAAGACUUGUAAAUUUUGAAUUUGUGACCUCGAAAUAAUCUGCGACCUAUAAGAUUUUUGAUUUGUGACAUCAAAAUAAUCUAUGACCAG
rnacentral:lncRNA from 1 species